rnacentral:rRNA from 1 species
CAGGCUUAACACAUGCAAGUCGAGGGGCAUCAGGAAGAAAGCUUGCUUUCUUUGCUGGCGACCGGCGCACGGGUGAGUAACACGUAUCCAACCUGCCCUUUACUCGGGGAUAGCCUUUCGAAAGAAAGAUUAAUACCCGAUGGCAUAAUGAUUCCGCAUGGUUUCAUUAUUAAAGGAUUCCGGUAAAGGAUGGGGAUGCGUUCCAUUAGGUUGUUGGUGAGGUAACGGCCCACCAAGCCUUCGAUGGAUAGGGGUUCUGAGAGGAAGGUCCCCCACAUUGGAACUGAGACACGGUCCAAACUCCUACGGGAGGCAGCAGUGAGGAAUAUUGGUCAAUGGGCGGUAGCCUGAACCAGCCAAGUAGCGUGAAGGAUGAAGGCUCUAUGGGUCGUAAACUUCUUUUAUAUAAGAAUAAAGUGCAGUAUGUAUACUGUUUUGUAUGUAUUAUAUGAAUAAGGAUCGGCUAACUCCGUGCCAGCAGCCGCGGUAAUACGGAGGAUCCGAGCGUUAUCCGGAUUUAUUGGGUUUAAAGGGAGCGUAGGUGGACUGGUAAGUCAGUUGUGAAAGUUUGCGGCUCAACCGUAAAAUUGCAGUUGAUACUGUCAGUCUUGAGUACAGUAGAGGUGGGCGGAAUUCGUGGUGUAGCGGUGAAAUGCUUAGAUAUCACGAAGAACUCCGAUUGCGAAGGCAGCUCACUGGACUGCAACUGACACUGAUGCUCGAAAGUGUGGGUAUCAAACAGGAUUAGAUACCCUGGUAGUCCACACAGUAAACGAUGAAUACUCGCUGUUUGCGAUAUACAGUAAGCGGCCAAGCGAAAGCAUUAAGUAUUCCACCUGGGGAGUACGCCGGCAACGGUGAAACUCAAAGGAAUUGACGGGGGCCCGCACAAGCGGAGGAACAUGUGGUUUAAUUCGAUGAUACGCGAGGAACCUUACCCGGGCUUAAAUUGCAGUGGAAUGAUGUGGAAACAUGUCAGUGAGCAAUCACCGCUGUGAAGGUGCUGCAUGGUUGUCGUCAGCUCGUGCCGUGAGGUGUCGGCUUAAGUGCCAUAACGAGCGCAACCCUUAUCUUCAGUUACUAACAGGUCAUGCUGAGGACUCUGGAGAGACUGCCGUCGUAAGAUGUGAGGAAGGUGGGGAUGACGUCAAAUCAGCACGGCCCUUACGUCCGGGGCUACACACGUGUUACAAUGGGGGGUACAGAAGGCAGCUAGCGGGUGACCGUAUGCUAAUCCCAAAAGCCUCUCUCAGUUCGGAUCGAAGUCUGCAACCCGACUUCGUGAAGCUGGAUUCGCUAGUAAUCGCGCAUCAGCCACGGCGCGGUGAAUACGUUCCCGGGCCUUGUACACACCGCCCGUCAAGCCAUGGGAGCCGGGGGUACCUGAAGUACGUAACCGCAAGGAUCGUCCUAGGGUAAAACUGGUGACUGGGGCUAAG